rnacentral:rRNA from 7 species
UAGUGAUCCGGUGGUUCUGAAUGGAAGGGCCAUCGCUCAACGGAUAAAAGGUACUCCGGGGAUAACAGGCUGAUACCGCCCAAGAGUUCAUAUCGACGGCGGUGUUUGGCACCUCGAUGUCGGCUCAUCACAUCCUGGGGCUGAAGUAGGUCCCAAGGGUAUGGCUGUUCGCCAUUUAAAGUGGUACGCGAGCUGGGUUUAGAACGUCGUGAGACAGUUCGGUCCCUAUCUGCCGUGGGCGCUGGAGAACUGAGGGGGGCUGCUCCUAGUACGAGAGGACCGGAGUGGACGCAUCACUGGUGUUCGGGUUGUCAUGCCAAUGGCACUGCCCGGUAGCUAAAUGCGGAAGAGAUAAGUGCUGAAAGCAUCUAAGCACGAAACUUGCCCCGA